rnacentral:misc_RNA from 1 species
GAUGAAGAACGCAGCGAAAUGCGAUAAGUAGUGUGAAUUGCAGGAUUCAGUGAAUCAUCGAAUCUUUGAACGCACAUUGCGCCCUUUGGUAUUCCAAAGGGCAUGCCUGUUCGAGCGUCAUUUGUACCCUCAAGCUUUGCUUGGUGUUGGGCGUCUUGUCUCUAGCUUUGCUGGAGACUCGCCUUAAAGUAAUUGGCAGCCGGCCUACUGGUUUCGGAGCGCAGCACAAGUCGCACUCUCUAUCAGCAAAGGUCUAGCAUCCAUUAAGCCUUUUUUUCAACUUUUGACCUCGGAUCAGGUAGGGAUACCCGCUGAACUUAAGCAUAUCAAUAAGCGGAGGA